GACGAGCGGCGGACGGGUGAGUAAUGCUUGGGAACAUGCCUUGAGGUGGGGGACAACAGUUGGAAACGACUGCUAAUACCGCAUAAUGUCUACGGACCAAAGGGGGCUUCGGCUCUCGCCUUUAGAUUGGCCCAAGUGGGAUUAGCUAGUUGGUGAGGUAAUGGCUCACCAAGGCGACGAUCCCUAGCUGGUUUGAGAGGAUGAUCAGCCACACUGGGACUGAGACACGGCCCAGACUCCUACGGGAGGCAGCAGUGGGGAAUAUUGCACAAUGGGCGCAAGCCUGAUGCAGCCAUGCCGCGUGUGUGAAGAAGGCCUUCGGGUUGUAAAGCACUUUCAGUCAGGAGGAAAGCGUGGUGGUUAAUACCCAUCAUGUGUGACGUUACUGACAGAAGAAGCACCGGCUAACUCCGUGCCAGCAGCCGCGGUAAUACGGAGGGUGCGAGCGUUAAUCGGAAUUACUGGGCGUAAAGCGUACGCAGGCGGUUUGUUAAGCGAGAUGUGAAAGCCCCGGGCUCAACCUGGGAACUGCAUUUCGAACUGGCAAACUAGAGUGUGAUAGAGGGUGGUAGAAUUUCAGGUGUAGCGGUGAAAUGCGUAGAGAUCUGAAGGAAUACCGAUGGCGAAGGCAGCCACCUGGGUCAACACUGACGCUCAUGUAC
rnacentral:rRNA from 1 species